rnacentral:tRNA from 1 species
ACUUUUAAAGGAUAGUAGUUAUCCAUUGGUCUUAGGAACCAUGAUUCUUGGUGCAAAUCCAUGUAAAAGUU